CAAAUUAGAGCUUGAGAAAGCGUUUUAUUUACACUAAAAAGUUAAUUGUUAAAUUCAAUUUAAUUUGA
rnacentral:tRNA from 1 species